UACGUAGGGUGCAAGCGUUGUCCGGAAUUAUUGGGCGUAAAGAGCUCGUAGGCGGUCUGUCGCGUCUGCUGUGAAAACUCAGGGCUUAACCCUGAGCUUGCAGUGGGUGCGGGCAGACUAGAGUGUGGUAGGGGAGACUGGAAUUCCUGGUGUAGCGGUGAAAUGCGCAGAUAUCAGGAGGAACACCGAUGGCGAAGGCAGGUCUCUGGGCCACUACUGACGCUGAGAAGCGAAAGCAUGGGGAGCGAACAGG
rnacentral:rRNA from 1 species